rnacentral:rRNA from 1 species
GUACGUACAGGCUGUCCUGAUGCAGUCGAGCGGUAACAGAGAGAAAGCUUGCUUUCUUUGCUGACGAGCGGCGGACGGGUGAGUAAUGCCUGGGAAUAUGCCUUGAUGUGGGGGAUAACCAUUGGAAACGAUGGCUAAUACCGCAUAAUGCCUACGGGCCAAAGAGGGGGAUCUUCGGACCUCUCGCGUCAAGAUUAGCCCAGGUGGGAUUAGCUAGUUGGUGAGGUAAUGGCUCACCAAGGCGACGAUCCCUAGCUGGUCUGAGAGGAUGAUCAGCCACACUGGAACUGAGACACGGUCCAGACUCCUACGGGAGGCAGCAGUGGGGAAUAUUGCACAAUGGGCGCAAGCCUGAUGCAGCCAUGCCGCGUGUGUGAAGAAGGCCUUCGGGUUGUAAAGCACUUUCAGUCGUGAGGAAGGUAGUUGCGUUAAUAGCGUAAUUAUUUGACGUUAGCGACAGAAGAAGCACCGGCUAACUCCGUGCCAGCAGCCGCGGUAAUACGGAGGGUGCGAGCGUUAAUCGGAAUUACUGGGCGUAAAGCGCAUGCAGGUGGUUUGUUAAGUCAGAUGUGAAAGCCCGGGGCUCAACCUCGGAAUUGCAUUUGAAACUGGCAGACUAGAGUACUGUAGAGGGGGGUAGAAUUUCAGGUGUAGCGGUGAAA